CCUACGGGAGGCAGCAGUGGGGAAUAUUGGGCAAUGGGCGCAAGCCUGACCCAGCAACGCCGCGUGAAGGAAGAAGGCUUUAGGGUUGUAAACUUCUUUUCUGAGGGACGAAGAAAGUGACGGUACCUCAGGAAUAAGCCUCGGCUAACUACGUGCCAGCAGCCGCGGUAAUACGUCGGGGGCAAGCGUUAUCCGGAUUUAUUGGGUGUAAAGGGCGUGUAGGCGGGAAAGAAAGUCAGAUGUGAAAACUCGGGGCUCAACCCUGAGCCUGCCUUUGAAACUGGUUUUCUUGAGUGCUGGAGAGGCAAGCGGAAUUCGGGGUGUAGCGGUGAAAUGCGUAGAUAUACGGAGGAACUCCAGUGGCGAAGGCGGAUUGCUGGACAGUAACUGACGCUGAGGCGCGAAAGCGUGGGGAGCAAACAGGAUUAGAUACCCUUGUAGUC
rnacentral:rRNA from 1 species